AACAGUCCAGAAGCGUCCGUGCAUUCACAUCACUCGAGAAAUGGUUACUGUUUUCCAUCAGUGCUGGUACGUCCGAUAUGGCCAAGAUCGAGAUGGAGCGUUUACUCCGAGAGGCCCAGGCUGAGAAGCAGAGACUCCUCGAGCAUCGGUUGAAGAGAAGAAAUAUGAGAGCUCUGAGGUGCUAAAGAACGACAUACUCUGCAGCAUCACAAGUAGCUACCUCAUUACGGACUUUGGUGGAGAAGGGUGCUUUGCCAAAGUUGCCAAGGGUGUGAAUUUAAUCACAUCGCAGGGCGUGGCCCUCAAAAUCCUGCAUACUGAGGAGACCGCUGAAAGAGAGAUCAAAAUGCUCGAAAUACUGAGCGUUCUUGACCCAGUCAAGAAGAAUGUGGUUCGGU